rnacentral:rRNA from 1 species
AACGAACGCUGGCGGCAGGCUUAACACAUGCAAGUCGAACGCAUCCUUCGGGGUGCGUGGCAGACGGGUGAGUAACGCGUGGGAACGUGCCCUUCAGUUCGGGAUAACCCAGGGAAACUUGGGCUAAUACCGGAUACGUGCGCGAGCAGAAAGAUUUAUCGCUGAAGGAUCGGCCCGCGUCUGAUUAGCUAGUUGGUGGGGUAAUGGCCCACCAAGGCGACGAUCAGUAGCUGGUCUGAGAGGAUGAUCAGCCACAUUGGGACUGAGAAACGGCCCAAACUCCUACGGGAGGCAGCAGUGGGGAAUAUUGGACAAUGGGCGCAAGCCUGAUCCAGCCAUGCCGCGUGAGUGAUGAAGGCCUUAGGGUUGUAAAGCUCUUUCGUCCGGGACGAUAAUGACGGUACCGGAAGAAGAAGCCCCGGCUAACUUCGUGCCAGCCGCCGCAGUAA